AAACAGCAGAAGCCUCAACAGGAGACUGCAAAUUCUUGGCUAUUUAAUUGGAGCGUUUUGCUGCUCUUGAAACCAGCUGGAGAGAAGGAGCCAGCGAAGAGCUUGAAGAGCUGGUCUUUGAGUCAGAGCUAAGUAUAGCAUAGCCAAGUGCUUCAUCUCCCCACUCACCAUAUCGCUGUGGAUUUUGAAGGAGGUUGGCUCUGGGGAGAAAAUAUUUAAGGCUGGAGAAAUAGAGUUUUCUUCAGUUUGUCUUCUGUGUAAAUAAGAGGGAUGCAAAGCACAAAAGUUACACUGGUUCUUAUUGAUUAAUGUGCUAACAAGUUAGACAGUUUUUCAGCUGUCCAGCCUCGCCUCUUCUCACGGCAGCUGUGCGCGCGCUGGGGGGCCACUGCAGGGAGGCCAUGCCCGAGGCAACCAAGCUCCCAUCCUGGCCCCUGGUUCCCAGGAUGCACCUCUUUCUCUGGGUAUCGUUGGCAUCUUCUUCAGGCUGUCUCUGUAUCCUGUCUUUCCUCAUCCACGUCUCUCUUUCUUUGAACACUCCAUGGGUCUUUCCCUCUUGCUGUGUUUUCACUUGAGAUCCCACACUGAACACCUAGACCCAGAGCUCAAGGCGUUUGUAAUCUGGAUUUUCCAGAGUGUUCAGUGUCUGCCAGUGGCUGGUGAGGCUGGUGGCCGUCAGAUCUGCACUGGUUGCUGUCACCCCGAGGAUUUGAGAAGAAAAGGGAAGCAGUGCUUUUGGUGACCUAUGUUCUCAAGAAUAUAAAACCUUGGUGACUGCUUCAUGCCAGGCCGGGCGUCUCAACCCGAGGCAGAGAAGCAUCUUCAUGGGAUUUAUGAAGACAAACAGACAUCCCAGCCAUGAAUUUUCUCCUCCACUUCCUUAUAUUGGACAUAACUUUAACACAAAAGAAACAAGUUUUGGUUCUGCUGUACCCUUGCUAUGACCGCCACCUAGAAUAUUAUUUUGGACCCAUCCACUCAGCCCAAAGGGGAAACCAAUUGCCAUGUUGUGAGCUGCCCUAUGGAAAGGCCCACAUGGUAGAGAACCGAGGGAAGCUCCAAACUGACAGCAAGCAAAGAACUGAGGUCUUCAGUGUCAAAGUGCAUGAGGAGUUGCAUGCUGCUAGCAGGAUGUGCAAAAGCCUGGAAGUGGAUUCUCUUCUCAGCCGGCUCCUUGACGGCAGCCUUGAGGGAGACCUUGAGGUAGAGGUACCUUGCCAAGCUGUGUCUGGAUUUUAGACCCACAGGAAUGAUGAGAUAAUAAAUGCUUUAAGCUGCU